UACAGGGGGUGCAAACGUUGCUCGGAAUCAUUGGGCGUAAAGCGCACGUAGGCGGUCUGUUAUGUCGGAUGUGAAAGCCCGUGGCUCAACUGAGGAAGUGCAUCCGAAACUGGCAGGCUAGAGUACUAAAGAGGGUCGCGGAAUUCCCGGUGUAGAGGUGAAAUUCGUAGAUAUCGGGAGGAACACCGGUGGCGAAGGCGGCGACCUGGGUAGAUACUGACGCUGAGGUGCGAAAGCGUGGGGAGCAAACAGG
rnacentral:rRNA from 1 species